GGGGGGGGGGGGGGGGGGGGGGGGGGGGGGGGGGGGGGGGGGGGGGGAUGCCAUGCAAUGGAGGAUCUCUUGGGUCAGUCCAGCCCAGCUGUCCCACCCCUAUGUCCCCAGGAACACUUGUCCACCCCUAUGUCCCCAGGAACACUUGUCCGCCCCCAGGGCAUUGGUUUGGGGGUUGCAAAGACACCUUAUUUGGGGCCAGCCCUGCUCAGCAGCAGCCAAAGCCUUGGGCUGGGACCAAACCCACUCCAGCCACCAGAGCCAAGCACAGCAGGACAGGGGCUGCUCUGGGCAAAGGGAACUCCAUCCCAGCCACACCCAGGCCAAGGGGGCUCAGGUGGCUCUUCCCACCUCUGUUAUUCCACAAUUCAAUGAAACUUUUCUUUAGAGAACUCUUUGAUUGGUGCUGUCACAACUCACUCCUUGGGUCCAUAAGUCCCUGCUGUGUCACAGUGCCCAUGGUUUCCAUGAGCAUCUGGAGUGUCACAUAGGUUGAUGCCAUUUGUCCUUGCUGCUCCUCCCAUCCCAGUGCCCCAGGAGCAGCCCGGAGCCACCCGUGAGUGACAGGCCUUGCUGGGCCAGGCCUGGGCUCAGCCCUUGGCCUUUCUGCUGCCUCCAGCCAGCCCAGGCCUUGUUCAGCAUUGCAGUUCCUGCUCACAGCCUUUGGCUCCUGCAGACCUGCCCUCAAGGAUCUGCUCUCACCAGUCCCUGGGGAGCCUUUGGCAGUCCCUGCCCUCAGUGGGGCCAGUGAUGCUCCAAGGGACUUGGAGUAUGGCUUCCGCCUCCUUGAGCAGCUUCUUCAACCUUCUCUCAGUGCCUGAGGGUCCUGGACUCA
rnacentral:lncRNA from 12 species